rnacentral:rRNA from 1 species
AUUGAACGCUGGCGGCAUGCCUUACACAUGCAAGUCGAACGGCAGCACGGGAGCAAUCCUGGUGGCGAGUGGCGAACGGGUGAGUAAUAUAUCGGAACGUGCCCAGUCGUGGGGGAUAACGCAGCGAAAGCUGUGCUAAUACCGCAUACGAUCUACGGAUGAAAGCGGGGGAUCGCAAGACCUAGCGAUUGGAGCGGCCGAUAUCAGAUUAGCUAGUUGGUGGGGUAAAGGCCCACCAAGGCGACGAUCUGUAGCUGGUCUGAGAGGACGACCAGCCACACUGGAACUGAGACACGGUCCAGACUUCUACGGGAGGCAGCAGUGGGGAAUUUUGGACAAUGGGCGCAAGCCUGAUCCAGCAAUGCCGCGUGCAGGAUGAAGGCCUUCGGGUUGUAAACUGCCUUUGUACGGAACGAAACGUCCCUUUCUAAUACAGGGGGCUAAUGACGGUACCGUAAGAAUAAGCACCGGCUAACUACGUGCCAGCCGCCGCGGUAA